rnacentral:rRNA from 1 species
UACAGAGGGGGCAAGCGUUGUUCGGAAUUACUGGGCGUAAAGGGCGCGUAGGCGGCCUGCUAAGUCGAACGUGAAAUCCCUGGGCUCAACCCAGGAACUGCGUCCGAUACUGGUUGGCUUGAAUUCGGGAGAGGGAUGUGGAAUUCCAGGUGUAGCGGUGAAAUGCGUAGAUAUCUGGAGGAACAUCGGUGGCGAAGGCGGCAUCCUGGACCGGUAUUGACGCUGAGGCGCGAAAGCCAGGGGAGCAAACGGG